rnacentral:lncRNA from 1 species
UGUUCUAUUUAGUUCCUUCGGAACCUUGACACGCAAGCUCAAUUGGCUUUGAACUUUGUCCGGUUGUUUCGGGUAGGCCAGAGAGAAGGGCCGGUGGUUGUUGGCAAAAGGAGAGGGUGCGAAAAGCACUUUCAAGCAAGCGAAGCCUCACUCAAUUCCUUCUUUCAAGCCUAAAGUAUAAGUCAGUUAGCGGUCGUACUAGAAGGUGCUUUCGGGUAGGCGUGCAGUUCUUCCUGAAGUUCGUUCCGUUCAGCAAGUCUGUCUAGAUCCACGGCAGGUGCUGUGAGAAAAGGAAAGGGCAGCGGCAGCCCACGGCAGGCGCAGUGGAAGAGAGAACCGCUUCUGCUUCCGAGUCACAGGCAAGUCCAGCUGUCGUAGAUCAAACUCUAGGGCAAGUGACUUCUAGUUAUGGUCGUAGAAAAACUCCUGCUUCCGUUAGUCAAGUUCUGUAAGCGAGUAGUUCCGUGUAGUAAGGAAAGUUCUGUAAGUUCAUCACCGACAGGUGCCGCCCUUCUCAGGUAGGGCUAGUGCUAUAUAUAAGGUGAGCGAUAGCGAACUCAGACUAACUUGCUUUCUGCUUCCUGUCAGGCGGCGAGGGGAGAUCGACAAGCUUAAUAUCGGAAGGUCAGAUAAAAUAGUAGCUUACUAUUCCUGGUAGCUUUGAACUUCUAAGAGCUACACUCGAAAAAGGCUUCAUCGCUCUUUAAGCCUUUCACUGAAACCGUAGGGGCCAGGAAGAAAGAGUUGAGUGCCAGAACGAAUGGCUAGUUCCAAAAGCAAGAGCGGUAUGCGAUUGAAGUUUCUAAUAUUAGAUAGAAUAUAUUACAAGAAAUCAAGAAAAUAUUCAAUUAGACAAGGGGUGAAAAUUGGACAUUGCUUCAAAAGAGCGAAUGCGUCACUGAAGUGAAUAAGAAAUUCCUUUCAUUCAUUCUGGAAAAUAAGACAGAUGAAAGACAGGCUUGUUAAAAGGCUUAUAACCAGAUCUAUAAAGGAAGAGCUGGUUAUUGCUCUUAUGCUUUAAGAAUUAGAAAUCAAGGAUCUUAUUCAGAAACAUUUUCAAGAAGGAGAAUAAUGACACGCGAGACUUCCAAAAGGUUUACUUUGAAAAGUGCUCAAAAAAAGAAAGCACGAGAUCCACCAGCAAGUUGAUUCUCCCAUUUCAGAGAAGGACAACGUACCCAAAGACUUUUAUUUCAGAUCAAACAAACCGGGCGGUUUUCCGUUUGUCGGGUAAAGGGACUGACCCCGGAUGUAAUCGCGUAGGAUGAACCGGGUAACCAAAAAUCACGAUCAUUGGUAUAAAGCUGGAUGUAAUUAAUCCUGAAGUGCUGGUUCGAGUCCAGCUCGUGAGUUGGCCUAAGGAGAAAAUCAGAAGAUCUUGAGUUUCAUUCCCACCAUCAAAGUUUGGUCUUCCGUUUGAACGGUGUACUCUUUGUCGCUUAUUCAAAGGGCUUCUUAUUUAUAACCUGUUUUGUACCGAUCGUGCCUACCUAGAAACGAGAAGGAGGGAACGAAUGACUUAGUCAAGUCAAAAUUGAGGUUUGUGGCGUUCUUCAUGACUCCCUCUAGGUCUAGAGUCCACGUUUUAGAAAUUUGGAUGAUGACGUGCUUGCAUUCCAACUCCCUUAGGGUGGAGAGCUACGUUCUUCAUUAUCGUGUUCCAGUUUCCCUCAGGGUAUAGAGUCGUUGCGUUCUGGAGAUGAAGUUGCAAGAAGUACAGAGUCGAUGUUCUAGAAGGUUUUUGGACAUGUGCACGUGGAGAACUAACGGAAGUGUCGAAAGUUAGUUAUAUGCACAUGGGGAUAUGGGACGCGUGUCUAUGUCUAGUUCUCCUUGGAAAGGAAUCAGCUGAAUAUUCCUUCUGUCUCCCGCCUGACACAGUUUGACACGCGGUGAUACCUGAUUGGCUCCAAAUCUAUAGUUGUAUAAAUAAUAUCAAGAGAACAAGCACGCGGGAAAAAGCAAAAUAGACCUAUCAGAAAUGAGACUGCGACUGCUAUUGUCUUCUUGGGGGGAAACUGAGCUCGAACGAGCGCACGAGAACAGUUCGAUUCUCUCUCCCGAUCAGGAGACCUCGCUUGCUGCUUGCUGAUCUCAUUCGGCUGAUGGCGCAACGCUUCAAGGUCAUUCUUUGAACUUACAACAUAGGGGGGUUGGUUUGGCCCUGUAAAAGCAAACUUUCAACUGAUUUCAAAUGCGCCAACCUUAAGCACCGUUAUACUUUUGAAAGGCUAGAAGGGCCCCCCCUUUUU